AGACAUGAGGGUGAUCUGUAUGGAACUUUUGUCACCCCACUGAUCACCACGGUUGAUUUGCCUGAUGUGGCUGGCUAGGCGGAUGGCUCCUUCCUCCCUCACCACUCUACGUGCACCCCUCCUAAAGCUGUGUGCUUGGUUGAAGGGGAUGAACUGCCCCUAAACAGAGUCGGUCAGGGUAUACAAGUAGCUGCAUUCCUCUACUAGAACCUUCAAACUGGCUCAACUGCAGGGCCUGAUCUGUGAUCUGUAGUAUACUACCCAGCCCUGUGAUGUGACUGCUGCU
ensembl:misc_RNA 7SK 7SK RNA